AGAGACAGCAGUAGCCGCGGUAAUACGUAGGUGGCAAGCGUUGUCCGGAAUUAUUGGGCGUAAAGGGCUCGCAGGCGGUUUCUUAAGUCUGAUGUGAAAGCCCCCGGCUCAACCGGGGAGGGUCAUUGGAAACUGGGAAACUUGAGUGCAGAAGAGGAGAGUGGAAUUCCACGUGUAGCGGUGAAAUGCGUAGAGAUGUGGAGGAACACCAGUGGCAAAGGCGACUCUCUGGUCUGUAACUGACGCUGAGGAGCGAAAGCGUGGGGAGCGAACAGGAUUAGAGACCCCUGUAGUCCCUGUCUCUUAUAC
rnacentral:rRNA from 1 species